rnacentral:rRNA from 1 species
AUUGAACGCUGGCGGCAUGCCUUACACAUGCAAGUCGAACGGUAACAGGUUAAGCUGACGAGUGGCGAACGGGUGAGUAAUGUAUCGGAACGUGCCCAGUCGUGGGGGAUAACUGCUCGAAAGAGCAGCUAAUACCGCAUACGACCUGAGGGUGAAAGCGGGGGAUCGCAAGACCUCGCGCGAUUGGAGCGGCCGAUAUCAGAUUAGGUAGUUGGUGAGGUAAAGGCUCACCAAGCCGACGAUUUGUAGCUGGUCUGAGAGGACGACCAGCCACACUGGGACUGAGACACGGCCCAGACUCCUACGGGAGGCAGCAGUGGGGAAUUUUGGACAAUGGGCGCAAGCCUGAUCCAGCCAUGCCGCGUGCGGGAAGAAGGCCUUCGGGUUGUAAACCGCUUUUGUCAGGGAAGAAAAGGUUCUGGCUAAUACCUGGGACUCAUGACGGUACCUGAAGAAUAAGCACCGGCUAACUACGUG